rnacentral:misc_RNA from 1 species
UAAACGAGUUGGUAUCCUUGUGGGAGAAGAAAACUGGAAAGAAUCUUGAAAGAAUAUAUGUACCAGAGGAACAAGUUCUCAAGAACAUACAAGAAGCCCCGGUUCCAUUGAAAGUGCUAUUAUCGAUCUGUCACACUGCUUUUGUGAAAGGUGACCACACUAAUUUUGAAAUUGACUCAUCAUUUGGAGUUGAGGCAUCAGAGGUUUAUCCUGAUGUUAAAUAUACG